rnacentral:rRNA from 1 species
CCUACGGGAGGCUGCAGUGGGGGAUAUUGCACAAUGGGGGAAACCCUGAUGCAGCGACGCCGCGUGUGGGAAGACGGUCCUCUGGAUUGUAAACCACUGUCCCCAGGGACGAAAAUGACGGAAGCUUCGGAGGAAGCUCCGGCUAACUAAGUGCCGCCGGCCGCGGUAAUACGUAGGGAGCGAGCGUUGUCCGGAAUUACUGGGUGUAACGGGAGCGUAGGCGGGGAUGCAAGUUGGGUGUCAAAACUACCGGCUCAACUGGUAGUCGCACUCAAAACUGCAGCGCUUGAGUGAAGUAGAGGCAGGCGGAAUUCGUAGUGUAGCGGUGAAAUGCGUAGAUAUUAGGAGGAACACCAGUGGCGAAGGCGGCCUGCUGGGCUUUGACUGACGCUGAGGCUCGAAAGUGUGGGGAGCAAACAGGAUUAGAUACCCGAGUAGUC